rnacentral:rRNA from 1 species
UACAGAGGGGGCAAGCGUUGUUCGGAAUUACUGGGCGUAAAGGGCGCGUAGGUGGCCUUCUAAGUCAUGCGUGAAAUCCCCGGGCUCAACCCGGGAACUGCGUCUGAUACUGGAAGGCUUGAAUCCGGGAGAGGGAUGCGGAAUUCCAGGUGUAGCGGUGAAAUGCGUAGAUAUCUGGAGGAAUACCGGUGGCGAAGGCGGCAUCCUGGACCGACACUGACGCUGAGGCGCGAAAGCUAGGGGAGCAAACGGG